UUAUAAAAGAUCAAACAAAUUUUUAUUUGUAAUAUACACAUUUGAAAAAAUAUGACUAAUAUUCUCAAUUCUUUGUAUGCUAUGAUCCUCUUUCUUUUUCUAUUUGCUAUUGCAAAUGAAGUUAGGGGUAAGACUUUUUUUCUUAUUUUAUUUUAUUUUAUACACAAUUCAAUUUCAAUGACACUUUUUUUCUUCUUGUUUUACAUAUCAGCAUUUUUCGAAUCCUGCAACUCGAAUUCUGAUUGUUAUCCAAAUGAUUGGUGCCAUCUUCCUAAUAAUGCAACGUGUUACAUUGGUCACUGUUUCUGCGUAUAGUUACUUGCUCUUAUUUUUUUUUUCACAGCUACAAAAGCAUAUUCAAUAUAUCUUAAAAGAACUACAAUUAUACUGUUUAAUUAAAAUUAUCUACAUCAAUAUAUAAACAGAAAUGGUCAUGUAAAGUAAUUAUAUAUAUUUAUUCUAUUUUAUAUGUUUAAUAUAGGCAUAACAUGUGCAAUAUAAAAAGAAACAAUAUUAUUGUGUAUUAAAAGAUGCUAAAUUAUUUUGGCAAAAACUAUGAGCUUUUACAAUUUUAUAGUAAGAAAAAAAUGAAAAACU
rnacentral:lncRNA from 1 species